UGUAAUCACACAGAAACAUGAGUUUCAAUGCCAGCGGACAUAUAUUUAAAGCUUGCAUUGGAAAUUUAUUUCUGCACUUCACCUGGGAAACAAAAAAAGCCAUAAAGAGAAAUAAAGACCUUUAUAACAUUUGAUGAAGAUUCACAGAAGCCACAAAGGAACAAGUACUGCACAAAAGAUGACCAGGAAGGACUUCAAAGGCCUUCUAUGAAGAUGACUAUCUGAAAUGCAUCCAUCUAGACUUGGCUUCUUUCUAUUCAUUAUGCCUUCUGCUAGGCAGCUUCACCCCACCAGGCUGUGCUGUGCUGCCCCACCAGGCUUCAGGUGUUGGGUGGAGAUAUUCGUUCAUUAAGGAACAAAAGCAUGGGAAAAGAUUACCUCUGGAUUUCAUUUGGUGUUACGUGGAGAUUUUUGGCUUCUUCCUCUCCCCGGAGGCACAGACCCAGGGAAAACAAUGUCCAGGAAAGGAAAACAAGGAAGAAAGCACAGAGAAUUACUUAGCUAAUGAAGAGGAAUGGCUGACUUGUCCUGCAAGAGGGCAGUUAGCAGGGACACAUCCCCUCUGGGCUCACCCAGUGAAGAACAGACACCAACACAGACCACUAAAAGGUGAGCAUCGGUGGAGUGACGCUGCAGUUUCUCCAGCUGUGUUUUGUGAGCAUAAUCGAGAUUUCUGUAGUGCCAGUGCUCACAAAACAUCAAAUGGCUCUGACUAUCCAUCUGGAACCGAAACCAUUACAUCCUCCCUGUAUGGCUCUUAGGGGCAGCACAGAACUCAGGACGCAGAUUUGUAUGAUAUAGCGAGGAGAACCAAUCAGAAAAAUGAUGUUAGUGCCGCAUCCUGUCUGAUAAAAGAGCCCAGCAAACAUCCAAAGCACCAUGAUGGUACCGCUGUCUGUCCUCCCUCCCUCCCCACUUCCCUGUCCAUCCUUUCCUAUCCUGACAUUUUGAGACAAGGCACCAAAUGAUUCCUUUUCAAAUGUUACUUUUUCUCCCUGAAUUAUUAUGUUUUUACAGUACGGCAAUUUUAUAAUUAAGAUUAAAUACUUUGUGCAAUUGUUUUGGCUUUUUUUUCCCCCUCUCAAACAAAAUGGAACCAAGGUUCAAAUCCAGAAAUGUUGUGAAAGGGGAUUUCUAUUCUCCGUGUAGAUGAAUGUAACUAUGAUCAGAGGAAAUAAAACUUAGAGCAAAAAUGCUCUGGAUACAUUGAGGUAGAUUUUUCACCAUAAAUCAUUUGCAUAAAUAAAGGUAAGUUGAUUGUAAUCACUUCAGUAUUUCCUGUAGCUGAAGUUUUACUCUAUUUGUCUUUAUUUCUGCUGUAGUUUCAUCAGCACAAAAAAAUCAAGGAAGCAGUAAUAAAGAAAAAAACAGCACAAAAAAUACCCACAAAAAAAAAGAGCAACAGUAGAUCCAGCCGCUUAGCAGUGGGUGCUUUAUUUUCUCCAUAAUAUUUUCAGAGUGUUUGGGGGAGUAAUUUCAAACAGUCAAGUCAGAGUCCAUUGAGAAUUGAUUUUUGUGACCUCACAUAGUGUAACAGAAAAUUAUAACAGGAAAUAAACCAUUAAGUGAUAAACAAGGAAACAUGGAUACAAUUACUUUCAGAACAUAAUUUUAUUCACUCUAGUUUUGAAAAUGAAGAGAUAGUACUGACUGGAACACCUCAAUUCUGAAUGCAAACUGUACAAUCUAUUAUAUUAAACAAAGUCAAAAGCAAUGUGAAAGAUCUUGAAUCUAUUCAAGGCAUGCACCUCAUUACAGACUUAGCAAAUUAAAACACAAAUAGGAUUAGAAAAGAAUAAUGUAACAAUCUCCCACCAUGGUCCCUGGAGCAUUAAGUCAUAAAUUGGGUUUGCAUUAAAUUGUGCCUGCAGUAUUGAAUUCAGGGAAAGAGCUAUAGGCUGAAGAUAAACCUCGCUAGGCUGGCCAACUUUGGUAUGGCUGUGUGAUUUCAUAAAAACACAAUGAAUCUGUUGGAAUCUAAAAAGGCACAUUCAACAACAUGUAUUUCAUAUCUUAAUUAGAAAACGCAGAUAUGGGGUAGCAAUCUCUGGCUGCAAGAGGUAUAAACCCAGCCAAAAGCUGCAGACAUUUGAAACUGUCACUUCACCUGGAGGUGUUGUUUAAAUAAGGUAAUUCAGCACUUCGUGGCAUCACCUGCUGUGUUAAACUACACAAGUUUCCUGCUUUGCACAAAGCUCUAGUGUGCCCUGAGCUUCUUUUAGCUGGAAGAAACAAUCUUACCCCAAAAGAGCUGAGAGAAGCUGAGUUUCUGAUACAAAUGCAUUCUGUUGUUAUGGGAACUAAAAUGGUGAGCGAUGUGAAAAGGAUCCCUCGCUAACAAAGACCGGCUUGAUGAUAUUAUGGCAGCAGCUAUGCAAAAAGCAAAUAUAUCUGCAAGAAACAAACAGAGCUUCUCCAAAGAAGACGCAGGUUCCUG
ensembl:lncRNA